UCAAGCGAACAAGUGCAUGUGGUGGAUGCCUUGGCGAUUACAGGCGAUGAAGGACGCGGUAGCCUGCGAAAAGCUUCGGGGAGCUGGCAAACGAGCUUUGAUCCGGAGAUGUCCGAAUGGGGAAACCCGGCCCGAAUGGGUCAUCCCUGACUGAAUACAUAGGUCAGGGAAGCGAACGCGGCGAACUGAAACAUCUAAGUAGCUGCAGGAACAGAAAUCAACCGAGAUUCCCAAAGUAGUGGCGAACGAAAUGGGAAGAGCCUUGUACUCUUUAGCAGCAUUGUUAGCAGAACGGGAUGGAAAGCCCGGCCAUAGCAGGUGAUAGCCCUGUAUGCGAAAACAGCGUUGUGGAACUAGGUGUACGACAAGUAGGGCGGGACACGUGAAAUCCUGUCUGAAGAUGGGGGGACCAUCCUCCAAGGCUAAAUACUCGUAAUCGACCGAUAGUGAACCAGUACCGUGAGGGAAAGGCGAAAAGAACCCCGGGAGGGGAGUGAAAUAGAUCCUGAAACCGCAUGCAUACAAACAGUCGGAGCCUGGAAACGGGUGACGGCGUACCUUUUGUAUAAUGGGUCAGCGACUUACAUUCAGUGGCAAGCUUAACCGAUUAGGGAAGGCGUAGCGAAAGCGAGUCCGAAUAGGGCGUUGAGUCGCUGGGUGUAGACCCGAAACCAGAUGAUCUAUCCAUGGCCAGGUUGAAGGUGCGGUAACACGUACUGGAGGACCGAACCCACUAACGUUGAAAAGUUAGGGGAUGAGCUGUGGAUAGGGGUGAAAGGCUAAACAAAUCUGGAAAUAGCUGGUUCUCUCCGAAAACUAUUUAGGUAGUGCCUCGUGUCUCACCUUCGGGGGUAGAGCACUGUCAUGGUUGGGGGGUCUAUUGCUGAUUACCCCGCCAUAGCAAACUCCGAAUACCGAAGAGUGCAAUCACGGGAGACAGACAUCGGGUGCUAACGUCCGGUGUCAAGAGGGAAACAACCCAGACCGCCAGCUAAGGUCCCAAAGAUUGGCUAAGUGGGAAACGAAGUGGGAAGGCUAAAACAGUCAGGAGGUUGGCUUAGAAGCAGCCACCCUUUAAAGAAAGCGUAAUAGCUCACUGAUCGAGUCGUCCUGCGCGGAAGAUGUAACGGGGCUAAGCCAGUCACCGAAGCUGCGGACGCACGCAAGUGCGUGGUAGGAGAGCGUUCUGUAAGCCUGUGAAGGUGUCUUGUAAAGGAUGCUGGAGGUAUCAGAAGUGCGAAUGCUGACAUGAGUAGCGAUAAAGGGGGUGAAAGGCCCCCUCGCCGUAAGCCCAAGGUUUCCUACGCAACGUUCAUCGGCGUAGGGUGAGUCGGCCCCUAAGGCGAGGCAGAGAUGCGUAGCUGAUGGGAAGCAGGUUAAUAUUCCUGCACCGUCGUAUGAUGCGAUGGGGGGACGGAUCGCGGAAGGUUGUCCGGGUGUUGGAAGUCCCGGUCCCUGCAUUGGAGAAGGCGCUUAGGCAAAUCCGGGCGCGGAAUUCAAGGAUGUGGGGCGAGCGGCCUAGUGCUGCGAAGCAAUUGGAAGUGGUUCCAAGAAAAGCCUCUAAGCUUCAGUCAUACGAGACCGUACCGCAAACCGACACAGGUGGGCGAGAUGAGUAUUCUAAGGCGCUUGAGAGAACUCGGGAGAAGGAACUCGGCAAAUUGGUACCGUAACUUCGGGAUAAGGUACGCCCUUGUAGCUUGACUGGCCUGCGCCAGGAGGGUGAAGGGGUUGCAAUAAAAUGGUGGCUGCGACUGUUUAAUAAAAACACAGCACUCUGCAAACACGAAAGUGGACGUAUAGGGUGUGACGCCUGCCCGGUGCCGGAAGAUUAAAUGAUGGGGUGCAAGCUCUUGAUUGAAGUCCCGGUAAACGGCGGCCGUAACUAUAACGGUCCUAAGGUAGCGAAAUUCCUUGUCGGGUAAGUUCCGACCUGCACGAAUGGCGUAACGAUGGCCACACUGUCUCCUCCCGAGACUCAGCGAAGUUGAAGUGUUUGUGAUGAUGCAAUCUCCCCGCGGCUAGACGGAAAGACCCCAUGAACCUUUACUGUAGCUUUGCAUUGGACUUUGAACCGAUCUGUGUAGGAUAGGUGGGAGGCUUUGAAGCGUGGACGCUAGUUCACGUGGAGCCGUCCUUGAAAUACCACCCUGGUUUGUUUGAGGUUCUAACCUUGGCCCGUGAAUCCGGGUCGGGGACAGUGCAUGGUAGGCAGUUUGACUGGGGCGGUCUCCUCCCAAAGUGUAACGGAGGAGUUCGAAGGUACGCUUGGUACGGUCGGACAUCGUACCUAAAGUGCAAUGGCAAAAGCGUGCUUAACUGCGAGACCGACAAGUCGAGCAGGUGCGAAAGCAGGACAUAGUGAUCCGGUGGUUCUGAAUGGAAGGGCCAUCGCUCAACGGAUAAAAGGUACUCUGGGGAUAACAGGCUGAUACCGCCCAAGAGUUCAUAUCGACGGCGGUGUUUGGCACCUCGAUGUCGGCUCAUCUCAUCCUGGGGCUGUAGCCGGUCCCAAGGGUAUGGCUGUUCGCCAUUUAAAGAGGUACGUGAGCUGGGUUUAAAACGUCGUGAGACAGUUUGGUCCCUAUCUGCCGUGGGCGUUGGAAUCUUGACGGGGGCUGCUCCUAGUACGAGAGGACCGGAGUGGACGUACCGCUGGUGUACCUGUUGUCUCGCCAGAGGCAUCGCAGGGUAGCUAUGUACGGAAGAGAUAACCGCUGAAAGCAUCUAAGCGGGAAACUCGCCUGAAGAUGAGGAUUCCCUGGAGGCUUGACCUCCUUGAAGGGUCGUUCGAGACCAGGACGUUGAUAGGCUGGGUGUGGAAGCGCAGUAAUGCGUUAAGCUAACCAGUACUAAUUGCCCGUAAGGCUUGAUCCU
rnacentral:rRNA from 4 species